UACGAAGGGGGCUAGCGUUGUUCGGAAUUACUGGGCGUAAAGCGCACGUAGGCGGAUUGGUCAGUUGGGGGUGAAAUCCCAGGGCUCAACCCUGGAACUGCCUUCAAUACUGCCAGUCUAGAGAUCGAGAGAGGUGAGUGGAAUUCCGAGUGUAGAGGUGAAAUUCGCAGAUAUUCGGAGGAACACCAGUGGCGAAGGCGGCUCACUGGCUCGAUACUGACGCUGAGGUGCGAAAGCGUGGGGAGCAAACAGU
rnacentral:rRNA from 1 species